UAUGUCAAGUGGACAGAAAAUGAAGUAUCACGUAUGGAAAUUUUGGAGGAAUUGGAGCAUGAAGUUGUUGGAAAUUCUCCUAUGGAUGGCCAGACAUAGAGCAGCUUCGCAAAAUAAUCCCUGCACAAUGUGGAGUAAAAGAGUACCAGGUAGGAUCGACUUCUACUACUCGUGGCUGGUAUUCAAGGAUUGCUGAUUCGUGUCUUUUAGGGUGAGCAUGAGGACGUUCGCUGCCCAAAGACUAUUUUUUCUAUUAUGUCUUAUUUUCAUCUUGAGACAUGAUCUUGAGACUAUUUAUGUAUUACUAUUAUUUAGAGUUGUAGUAUUUUAAUUAGAUGCUCAUGUAUGACCAGACCAGAUCUUUGGGGUUGAUUUCUUUUACUUUCACAUUUUCUUACAUUUUAUCAUGAGACUUAUGUUAUUCUA